CCUACGGGUGGCUGCAGUGGGGAAUAUUGCACAAUGGGGGAAAGCCUGAUGCAGCAACGCCGCGUGAGUGAAGAAGUCCUUCGUGUUGUAAAGCUCUAUCAGCAGGGAAGAAAAUGAUGGUACCUGUCUAAGAAGCCACGGCUAACUGCGUGCCAGCAGCCUCGGUAAUACGUAGGGGGCAAGGGUUAUCCGGAUUGACUGGGUGUAAAGGGAGCGUAGACGGCGACGCAAGUCAGAGGGGAACAGCCAGUUCUCAACACUGGAACUGCUUAGGAAACUGUGUGGCUAGAGUGCAGGAGAGGUAAGUGGAAUGCCGGGUGUAGCGGUGAAAUGCGUAGAUAUUAGGAGGAACACCAGUGGCGAAGGCGGCUUACUGGACUAUAACUGACGUUGAGGCGCGAAGGCGUGGGGAGCAAACAGGAUUAGAUACCCUUGUAGUC
rnacentral:rRNA from 1 species